UUAAUAUCUGUUCUUAUCAACGUAAACUGUAACCAUCGGUCGAUGUUUACAUCCGUCCAUCGUCUGGUUCAGAAUUGUUUUGCAUGUCUGGAAACUAUGGCCUCAACUACAAGUGAUGUUUUUGCUGAUGAGAAGGCCGGCAUGCUAAAACAAUUGCUGUUUGAUUACGUCUUCACAAGAGCAUCAUGCCAACUUGAGGGUUCUCAAUAUACCAGACGUGCUGAUCCAGAAAAACUUCAGGAAAUUUUUGAAAAAUAUGCUAGUGUUAAAAAAGGAGAUGAUUAUUUUAUGACACCAGAUGAUUUUGUAAGAAGAUUUUUGGGAAUUUAUGAGGAGCAAAACUUUAACCCAAAAACUGUUCAUCUGCUUGGAAGUAUUUUGGAUACUUCUAAAGAUGGGUUGAUAUCAUUUUUGGAAUUCCAAGCUUUUGAAGCUGUACUGUGUCGUCCAGAUGCUCUCUACAUUACUGCUUUUCAACUUUUUGAUACAAAUGGCUCAGGCUCAAUUACACUGGAUGAGUUUGAAGAGAUUAUCAAGCACACAACACUUCAUGAGAAAAUACCUUUUAAUUUUGCAAGUGAAUUUCUUAAGUUACAUUUUGGUGCUGACAAAAACAGGGAACUCAGCUACAAUGAAUUCACUCAGUUACUUCACGAUUUCCACGAAGAGCAUGCUAUUCAGGCUUUUCGAACAUAUGACAAGAAUAAGAAAGGUCUGAUAUCAGCCAUGGACUUCAGUAAUAUCAUGGUGUCAGUAAAAAGUCACUUACUCAGUGAAGAUGUGCGCAGGAACUUAGUUGCAGCUGCUGGAGGUACUGCUGGUCAUCAAGUUUCAUUUCCAUAUUUCAUGGCAUUCAACACCCUCUUGAACAACAUGGAGUUAGUUAAAAAAGUUUAUCUUAACUUCACUAAAAACAACACUAAUGUAGAGGUUACAAAAGAGGAAUUUCUAUAUGCUGCUCAGCAAAUGUCCCAAAUAACACCCCUAGAAGUAGAUGUUUUAUUCCAAUUGGCUGGAUUUAUGCAUGCUGACACAGGGAGAGUAACAUAUGAUGAUAUAGAACUUAUAGCUCCACAUAGACCAACUAAAUUUUUAUCUAGGCCUUUAGCAGAAAUGAAAGCAGUAAAAAGUCCAGCUGAGCGAGGUAUAGGCAUUCAAAUAUUAGAAAGUGCUUAUAGGUUUACAUUGGGCUCUAUUGCUGGUGCUGCUGGUGCAACCGUUGUUUAUCCCAUAGAUUUAGUAAAAACUAGGAUGCAAAAUCAAAGAACAGGUUCCUACAUUGGGGAGUUGAUGUACAGAAACAGCUUCGACUGUGCGAAGAAAGUCAUCCGGCACGAAGGUUUCACUGGACUGUACAGGGGGUUGAUACCCCAACUCGUGGGUGUUUGUCCCGAGAAAGCUAUUAAAUUAACGAUGAAUGACUUGGUGCGGGAUAAGUUCACAAAUUCAAAAGGGGAGAUCCCACUCUGGGGUGAAAUCUUAGCCGGUGGAUGUGCUGGUGCAUCUCAAGUGAUGUUCACAAAUCCCUUAGAAAUUGUGAAAAUAAGGCUUCAAGUUGCAGGAGAGAUUGCAGCGGUUGGCCGCAAAGUCCGUGCCUUGAGUGUUAUGAAAGAUUUAGGUAUUACAGGGUGCGAGAGCAUGUUUCCUUCGUGACAUACCUUUCUCAGCCAUCUAUUUCCCGGUGUAUGCUCAUACAAAACUUAAAUUUGCUGAUGCUGACGGCCAUAACGGAGCCGGUUCUUUACUGUUAUCUGCUUGCAUAGCUGGUGUCCCAGCUGCCUACUUAGUAACGCCGGCAGAUGUCAUAAAGACUCGACUGCAGGUUGCAGCACGUGAAGGACAGACAACCUACACAGGCGUCCUAGAUGCAUGUAGGAAGAUAUGGAAGGAGGAAGGUGGAGCAGCA
rnacentral:misc_RNA from 1 species